rnacentral:rRNA from 1 species
GACGAACGCUGGCGGCGUGCUUAACACAUGCAAGUCGAACGGAAAGGCCCUGCUUUUGUGGGGUGCUCGAGUGGCGAACGGGUGAGUAACACGUGAGUAACCUGCCCUUGACUUUGGGAUAACUUCAGGAAACUGGGGCUAAUACCGGAUAGGAGCUCCUGCUGCAUGGUGGGGGUUGGAAAGUUUCGGCGGGUGGGGAUGGACUCGCGGCUUAUCAGUUUGUUGGUGGGGGAGUGGCUUACCAAGGCUUUGACGGGUAGCCGGCCUGAGAGGGUGACCGGCGACAUUGGGACUGAGAGACGGCCCAGACUCCUACGGGAGGCAGCAGGGGGGAAUAUUGCACAAUGGGCGGAAGCCUGAUGCAGAAACGCCGCGGGCGGGAUGACGGCCUUCGGGUUGUAAACCGCUGUCGCCUGUGACGAAGCGUGAGUGACGGUAAUGAGUAAAGAAGCACCGGCUAACUACGUG